AUGACAAAGGAAAGAGUAAACACCUGCUUUUCAAACUUGUGAAAUUGGCCUUCUUCUUCAUUUCCUCUUGCGCCAAUGAAGCUGUAGGGCUAAGAAGGUUGAUCGAGCUUUUCUCUGUCACUAGUUGGAUCCCAUGGUGAAGCUUCAUCCCUUCCAACGUCGGAAUUGAAUAUGGGUUUAGGCGUAGAUGAAUGGAGGUUCAGUCCCUUCCAACGCUGGAAUCGAAUCUGGGUUUCUACCUUGACCUACGACGGAGCUUUAGCUUUGUUGUUGGAUGAGGAACUUCUAUCUCAUACCCAAAUUUGCGACAUAUCUUUGGGAUUUUUGUUGAAGGAGGAGCUUCGUUUUCGGAUGAGGUUUGAUCUGUUACCUAGAUCUGCGAUGCAGCACCGCGAUUGGAGAAGGGAGGCCGGAGGUGGAGGUGGCAAUCUGUGCCACAACAAUGGUAGACGAAUAUUUGGAUUUUUGAACAUAUCUCAGAUCAGAUUUUGAAUUUUUGUAUAUCUUAUGUGUAUUUUUGUUUGCUGAUAAUUUUUGUGAGAGGUUGAGAUUGUGAUUUAAAGUUUUGGAUUUGAAAUUUUUUGUUUGCAAAUUUUGGUCUCCAAGAAGAAUGAACUCAAAAACAGAAAUUUGAUUUGA